rnacentral:miRNA from 1 species
UUGAGUUGGCCAAAAAGUUCUUUUGUGUUCUUUGUAAGAUGUUACAGAAAAACCCAAAUGAACUUUUUUGGCCAACCCAUUA